GGUUCCGUAGCUUAGAGGAAAGAAGCGCCCGUCUUGCAAUUUGGGAGUCGUGGGUUUGAUUCCCACCGUAGCAC
rnacentral:tRNA from 1 species